UAAAAAUAUUCAUAAAAUUUCACUUGAAAAAAUUCAGCCAGGCACAGUGGUGCACACCUGUAAUUCUAGGUACUCGGGGGAUAAGGCAAGAGGAUCACAAAUUUCAAGCCAGCCUGGGCAACUUAAUGAACACCUGUCAAAAAAUUCUACAAGGGCUGUGGAUUUAGCUCAGUGGUUCCACUGCCUGCCUUGCAAGCGCAAGGACCCGAGUUCGAUCCCCGGUACCAAAAAAAAAAAAUUCUACAAGCUGGGCAUGGUGGCACAAGCCUGUAAUCCCAGCAUUCAGGAGGCUGAGGCAAGACUAUUGCCUUGAGUUCGAGGCCAGCCUGGGCUACAUAGUUCAAGGCUGCCUGAACUACAUAGACCUUGCCUCAAAAAAACAAAAAAAAUUCUAUAAAGGCCUGGGGUAUACCACAGGGGUAGAGUACUUGCCCAAUAUGCGAGAGGCCUUCGCUUGCAUCCUCAGUAACUCAAAAGCAAAUCUGGACUCGAGUGACGGGAGUGAUUUGGAAGCUGGCUGCCAUGUGACCACCUGCCCUGUGAUGAAGGAGUGGUGAGGUGUGGGGAUCCAGCCCUGACCAGUGCACAACUAUCCUGAGAUGUAAGCAGGUGCGCUGCCUCUGCCCAAGACGGCGACAGUGGAGAGACACCAGAGCGCAUUCCUCUCCUGUUCCACAUGGUCCCACCUGAGCUCCUGAAGACACCGUGUGUGCCUGUUGUCACGUCUGUGGGCAGGGGGAAGAUAGCUGCUGCCUGCAGGGAGAGGACACAGCAGUGUGUGACGGGACUGUGGGUGCCCUCAAGGGGACUUUGGCCCUGGGCCCCUUCUCUGUUUUCUUUGACCUGUGUGGGACCCUCAAGCACCGGGACAAACUGGCCUGAGCCAGUAAGCUCCUCCUUCCGGGUGAUCUCAGGAGUUGUCAGUGGCAGGAAGCUGACGGCAGUCCCCGGAUGUACUGCCUCAGACUGCUCGUCCGAGCGCCUUGGCCCCAGGGUCAUGGAGCUGAUGGCUUCUGCCCCUGGCGGGAGCUGCUGACCAGCACGAGUGUCCAUGCAGCAGAAGGACACACUGCCCGCCGUGGCUCUCAUCACUCAGCUGGGCCCGAGGUCCCCUGGGUCCUGGCAGUUGGGACGAGAAUCUCGAGCAAGCUCUAGGUGUUUGCAGCUGCACGGCAGUGGCUGUGGCGAAGACGCGGGGUGUGGGUGGGAUAUUCGCUCUGGCCAGCACUCCUUCCCCUGACCGUGCCACCGCUGUCCUGGAGGAGCUGGUGGUGGACAUAUCUGGCUCGAGUCUUAUUAUGUUGCUAAUUGCCCAAGCUGGGCUGGAAUCUGCAGUCCUCCUGCAUCAGCAUCCAGAGUACUGGGAUCCAAGGCAUGCAGCACCCCAGCCAGCCUUCCUUCUGUUCCUCCAUGGCUCCCAGGCAAUUUCCAUUGUUCAGUGGCUUGCAGUGCACCUUGCCCAGAGCGCCCAAUCCCAGGUGUCCGUGACAGCCGAGCAGGGAGCCCUCGCCUCGCCAGGGCCUCGUCUCUGCGGGCUCCCCAGCUCUGCUUGUGGAGGGCUGGGGUGCAGCUGGGCCCCGGGGGUGAUCCUGCCUGUCAUUCAGAAGUUGUGGCCAAGCAGAACCUUCCACCUUCCCAGGGGCUUGCCCAGCAGGAGUGUGGACAAGCCCAGACAGGUGGCCUCCUCCCCUUACCCCUGCGUUGCAUGGACAGCGACAUCCGUGGUUCCUGUGUACAACUCUUCAGUGUUUUGUGUAUCAAGUAAAAAUACAUUUAUAUUAGAAACAAAACAGCAGGCGCUGGGAGGGAGCUGCACUUGCUCUUUGCUUGGAGAACAAAGCAGCAAUGGACCCUUUGGGGCUGAUUUGCCUCCACUGUCAAAGGACAACAGUGGCAGCUUCGGGCCAGCUCUGUGCAGAGGCCCCGCCCCGAAAGAUGGGUCCACGCCCAGAGGCCAGGGCCUAUGUGUGGGCUUCUCUGAGAACAGGGCCUUCCCAGGUGUUGCCAGAACAUCACCCUGGACUUAGGGUAGCCACAAGUGGAGAUGGCAGUGCCACUGGAAAGGAUGGGAUUCGCAACACAGCAGGACGCAAAGGUUGGGGAGAUGCAUCUGCCGGCAAGGGCAUCAGGGACCACAAGGAGCUUCCGGAAACUGAGAUGGGGUGUGGGGUGGGGUCCUUCCAGCCCCAAGAGGAACCAACUACCACUGAGGUUUUGUUGUUGUUUUGUACCGCGAUCGAACUCAGGACCUUGUGUCUGCCUCGCAAGCACAGUGCCACUGAGCUACAUCCCCAGCCCAACCAUCGGGUUUUUGAUCAUGGUGGCUGUGAUCUGCAUUGUGUGGAUGUCUUGGUUUUUGCAUCAUCUCCGAGAAAGUUUCUAGGGAGGCCCAUGGCACAAGGACACAGAGUCAGCAAGCAGUGGGGUUAGCAAGUAGGUCCUUAGAGGAAGGAGCAGAAAGCAGCGGGCAGGGCAGCUCUCUCAGGGUGGGGCAGCAGGUGGAGCUGGAGCUGUCUGGCCAGUGCAUGUCACAGCAUGGACACUUGGGGAGAGGCCCAGUACCCAGGGACCAGGGUCAUUUUCUUUUCUGUUUCUAGAAUUUGGGGGAUGAGAGGAGAGUUUUCUUCAGUCAGCAGUGGGUUUCCACCCUUGCCUGGGGAGAGUGACCUUUUGGCUGACUUAAAUAUGUAAAUACAUGCUAAUGAGGUCUGGUUGUGUUGGCGUGGAGAGUGAGUCCCCCCUGUACACAAGCAUUGGUGCAUUGACCCCAGACUUACACGAGUGUGUGGUGGGGAACCUGUAGGGCUCCAUGAGCCUUCUCAGAAGUUGUGGGGCCACAAACCCAGGAAGCUUGGACUCCCAUCCCUUUGAGGUUCCCUUCCCUAGCCCAGCAGCUAUGGUUCUGCCGUCUCUAGCUUAUACCUGCUGACUGACCACUCUGUUGCUACCUGCCUGCACGUUGGUGCUGGGCUUCUGACACCUCCAACUUCAAGGAGGAGAGUUUACUUGGGCUCAAGGUUUCAGCUGGGUCAUGGCAGAAGGGCAUGGAAAAGCAAAGCUGCUCACCUCAUGGCAACUUGGAAGAAGAGAGCAGGAAAGAACUGAAGAGGAAGGGGCCAGGGACCACAUAUAGUCCCCAAGGUCAUACCCCCGGUGACCUACUUCCUCCAUCCAGGCCCCACUUCCUAGUAGCCAUCGUGGGUUAACCCGCCACUGAGGCUGGUGCCCUCCCCAUCUAGUCACCUCUUCAAGAGUCUCUUAACCCAGCUGAGCUGACAAUCAUGAUUACCUGGCAUGCCCCUCACAGCCUGUUUCUCCAUCUGUAACAUGGGAUAGUACUCCCUGCUGCGGCUGGGACUAGAGACAGGGCUGUGAGAUGCUCCGGCCCAACCCAGGGGACACAGCAUGACCAUGGUCACUGGGUUCUGCAGGGAAGGGACACAAGUUCAGGGGCACUACAGCAUGCUCCCCCUGGUGAGCAGGUGAGCCAGCGUCCCUUUGGGGUCAGCAGGAGCUGGGGUUUGGCCAGAGGAGGGAGCUUCAGGAAAGGAGUGGAGGUCUGUUGUAUAGACCUGCAGCAUCCUCAAGCCUGCGUGGUGAAGGCUGGGUCCCCAGGUGGGUCUGUGGGAAGUGGACGGACCUCUAAGAGGUGAGGCUGAGAGAGGCCCUGAAGUGGCUGGGGAGUGACCUAGAAGGGUUUUGGGACCCCAGUCCCUCCCUCUGCCUCCUUGGCAUCUCGUGGACAGAUGGUCAGCCUGCUAGGCCACACACUCCUGCCAUCCUGUGCCACCACAGCCAAGCACCUGACCCUGAACUGGAACCUCCAAACCUGUAAGCCAAAAUGAACCUUUCCUCCUUCUAAAUUGGUUGCCUCUGGGGUUUUGUUAUAGUGACAGAGAGCUGAUUAACACAGGGGAGGGCAGGGAUUUGGGGACACACCAGGGAUGUCAGUGUGGCCAGAGACUGGGAACAGAGAGAAGCCAAGGGGACAGGGAGGGGCAGCUCCUGGGGCUGCUCGACAGCAGCAGCCAUCUGCAUGGAUGGACACCCUUUUGCUGGAGAUGCAGCCUGAAAGAGAGGGGAACAGAGGAGGACGGGGAAGAAAGUGCCGACAGCUCUCUGCUCCCACCCCAGGUCACCUGCUGUGUUUGCUUUAGGGUUAAAUCAAAUGCCCUAAAUUCCCAUGCUGAAAUCCUGGCCCCAGGAACUCAAAAUGUGACUACAGUUGGAUUGAGGGACUUUGCAUAGGAAAUUAAUAGAGCGAAGCCAUACUGGAGAAGGCUGGGCCCUCACCCGGCACAACCAGUGUCUUCAUGGAAGAGGAGAUUUGGACACACAGCUCGUGUACAGACCAGACUUCUGUGGCCACAAGCAGGGAGCUCCUGGAAGCUGGGGAAGGCCAGGCUGACCCUCCCACCCCUGCACCCUCAGAUGCCUGGGUGACCGCACGCCCGAGGCAUCUCGGCCUCGGGCUUCUCCAGACCUGGAGGCCAUACAGUUCCACAGUCUGGACCACUGGGGUACAGCCCUUGCCUGAGCAGCAGCCGAGCUUGGACAGAGCCUGGGAGAGGCCAGAAGGGCAGCAGGACACAGCGCAGCCGGUGGCCGGUUCUGCUGGGUUACUCAACUACACACACAAGCGUCCAUGCCACUGUGGGCUUCGGGCCAGAAGCCGGCUGUCCAAGUAAGGGACUGAAGCGGGGGCUCGGCUGUCCGAGGGUCGCGGUAGGAGGUGAGGACGCGGAGCCCAGCUGGUAGAUGGAGCUGCGGGGGGGCUUGCAUUGCCCAGGCACGCCCACGGUGGCCUCUGGCCCCGGUGCCACCAUCCGCUCACUGGGUGAUGCUUCCCCAGCCACAGGGGAAGAGGGAAGCUAAGCACAUGUGCUGUCAGUGUAAGUGAGAGGUGCGCAUGGAACAUGUGUUGUCAUGUGUGAGGACUGCCUUGCGUGUGACGAUGAAGUAAAGAUCACUUAUUUUGGAGAAUUC